UACGUAGGGUGCGAGCGUUAAUCGGAAUUACUGGGCGUCAAGCGUGCGCAGGCGGUUGUGCAAGACAGAUGUGAAAUCCCCGGGCUUAACCUGGGAAUUGCAUUUGUGACUGCACGGCUAGAGUGUGUCAGAGGGGGGUAGAAUUCCACGUGUAGCAGUGAAAUGCGUAGAUAUGUGGAGGAAUACCGAUGGCGAAGGCAGCCCCCUGGGAUAACACUGACGCUCAUGCACGAAAGCGUGGGGAGCAAACAGG
rnacentral:rRNA from 1 species